rnacentral:rRNA from 1 species
CCUAAGUGUGAACAUCUGAAUUUCCUAUCAAAGACGGUGAUAAUCCGGUAUGAUAGUUUGAUUGGCUAAUAUUCUUGUUAUUUUAAAGAGUCGAGUUGUUUGGGGAUUUGCAACUCUAAUAAAGGUGAUAGAUUUCAUCUAAAGCUAAAUAUAUUAGGAAAACCGAUAGCAAAGAAGUACUGUGAAGGAAAAGGUGAAAAGAACUUUGAAAAGAGAGUUAAAAGUGCUUGAAAAUUGUUAAAAGGGAAGCGAAUGAAAAGAAUUACUGCGAUUAAGGUCCUCAGUAUUUCUGAAGGGGAAUUUAAUGAAAGGCUUAGUCGACUUGACCUGUCUGAUUUGAAAACCUUGGACGAUUUAUUUAUAGAUCUUGCAGAUUAAUGUAAAAUAAGGAAAUUAAAAAAAGGCUGAAAAGAGAUAUGUAGUGGGCUUGUCUCAUUGCAAUAAAUAUUUUGAC